rnacentral:rRNA from 1 species
CGACCCAGGUGGUAACGGUAUGCAACUUGCCCUUUCAGGGGAUAGCCCGGGGAAACUCGGAUUAAUCCUCCAUAAGAUUUUGAUUGGCAUCGAUUAGAAUUGAAAGAUUUAUUGGAUAAGGAUAGGCAUGCGUCAGAUUAGUUAGUUGGUAGUGUAACGGACUUCCAAGGCGAUGAUCUGUAGGGGGCCUGAGAGGGUGAACCCCCACACUGGUACUGAGACACGGACCAGACUCCUACGGGAGGCAGCAGUGAGGAAUAUUGGACAAUGGAGGGAACUCUGAUCCAGCCAUCCCGCGUGCAGGAAGACGGCCCUAUGGGUUGUAAACUGCUUUUGUAUGGGGAUAAAUCUACUUACGUGUAGGUAGUUGAAGGUACCAUACGAAUAAGCAUCGGCUAACUCCGUGCCAGCAGCCGCGGUAAUACGGAGGAUGCAAGCGUUAUCCGGAUUCAUUGGGUUUAAAGGGUCCGUAGGCGGGCUGAUAAGUCAGUGGUGAAAUUUUGUCGCUCAACGAUAAAACUGCCAUUGAUACUGUUAGUCUUGAGUGAUAUUGAAGUAGCUGGAAUGUGUAGUGUAGCGGUGAAAUGCAUAGAUAUUACACAGAACACCGAUUGCGAAGGCAGGUUACUAAGUAUUAACUGACGCUGAAGGACGAAAGCGUGGGGAGCGAACAGGAUUAGAUACCCUGGUAGUCCACGCAGUAAACGAUGCUACUCUACUG